AUCUACAGCCAUGCCACCCUGAACACGCCGAUCUUGUCUGAUCUUGGAAGCUAAGCAGGGUUGGGCCUGGUUAGUACUUGGAUGGGAGACCACCUAGGAAGACCAGGUGCUGUAGGCG
rnacentral:rRNA from 1 species